UAAUAUGCUAAUAAAAUAUCCAAUCAAAUUUGAAUCACACCAGUACUACAUUCUUACAUUAGGAGAUGCGUAGAUAAAUUUCUAGAUAAGUUUCUAUACAAAAUAUCAGCAAGUAAAUUGAUUGAGGUGCGUGGAAAUCUUUACGAAAUAUGACAUAUCUCUUCAAAUGUUUGUUUACAAACUAUUUUAUUUCAAAGAACACAACUCAUUACUAAUUAAGAUUUUAUUUUCCCGUAAAAACAUAUUAAGUUCAUUUUCUUCUAUUUUCAGAUUCGCAUGUUCGUUCUCUCGACUCUCAUUAUAUCAGCGAUAGACUAUGUUGGCUUCAUUCGUAUUCACUCUAUUUUGGAUUUCUUGUUCCAGCUGGAAUUGUUUUAUGUAUUAAUGUUUUAGGAUUCUUUCUGUUACUGAGAAAAAUCUGCCGCCAUCCGCCUGAUGUAAGUACAGAGCGAUCAAAACGAUCAUGAAAUAUGGACACAUUUGAUUUGACCAUACUUACAAUAUUAUUACACCAUAUUAUGAUGCAUUUAGACGGCUCAAACUGUCUCAAUGCACAACUGCCACAAGAUUAAAAAAAUAUAUAUUAAUUAUAAUAAAACAUAAUGUUGGUGUAGCAUAUACCUAAAAGUAAAAUGAAUUCCCUUUUUUUAACUGUCAGAAAAAAAAGAUUAUUUUUGCAGCAUCAAUGCUUACACGUAUAUAUCAUUUAUUUAUAGCUUGGGCAGAGAUCCGUAAAUUUACAACUAAAAGAUCAUGUUUUUCGAAUUGCAACACUUUCUGCUGUUCUUGGCUUGACAUGGGCUUUUGCUAUACCUUUAACAACGACCGAUAAUCAACAUGUGAACUUAGUGUUCGAUUGGCUGUUUUCAUUGUUCAAUGCAUUCCAGGGAACUUUCAUCUUCUUUAUAUUCUGCGUAUGGAGGAAGGAAGUUCGUGAUGUAUGGUUGAGAGGCAUAGGGAACAGGAUCCGUUCAUCAUUGAGCCAUAAUAAAGUAAAAUCUGGAGGAAGAUCCCCAUUUCAAACAGGAACAACAACUAUGUAGCAAAAACGUUUUCCACAUAUUUCUUUUUGCUUUUAUUAUUUUUUGGCAACUUUAUACUUUAAAUCUUUGGUUUAUAUUCGCAAUAAUGCCGAUUGAAUAUUACAUAUCUUCUGUGAAUUUUAUUCUGUUUUAAAAACAAGAGAGCUAUGCUCAAAUAUAUGGACACGGCUGGCAAAACAAAAUAUCUUACCAUCAAUUCCUCC